UGGAUUUUACGGCUUCCAUCUCCUCGGUCAUCGGCGUUGCAGCACCCAAAGGUUUAUCUUCGGCGUCGUAGGCUUGCAGCUCUCUACUUGAUGUUGAUGGUAAUCGGUAAGCAUGUUCUAUUUUUUUUUCUUUGUUUCACCAAAUCAAUAAAAUACUGUUAUUACAAGAUUAAUUUUAAAAAAUAUAUAUUUAAUUGCACGUUGGAGCAAUAGAGCUUAUUAGAGUAAUGCCGCCAGCAGAGGAAACUUGUAUAUUUUGAAGCAAGCUAGCUACCAAAUAAAAAGAUGAAAGAUGGACAAGAAAAAGGAAU
rnacentral:lncRNA from 1 species